GAUGAAGAACGCAGCGAAAUGCGAUAAGUAAUGUGAAUUGCAGAAUUCAGUGAAUCAUCGAAUCUUUGAACGCACAUUGCGCCCGCCAGCAUUCUGGCGGGCAUGCCUGUCCGAGCGUCAUUUCAACCCUCAGGGUCCCUCCGCCUCGCGCGGUCGGAGCCUGGUGUUGGGGAUCGCCCGCCCCGCGCGGCGCCGUCCCCCAAAUACAGUGGCGGUCCCGCCGCAGCCUCCCCUGCGCAGUAGUUAUCAACUCGCACUGGAGCGCGGCGCGGCCACGCCGUAAAACCCCCGACUUUUAGAAAGUUGACCUCGGAUCAGGUAGGAAUACCCGCUGAACUUAAGCAUAUCAAUAAGCGGAGGA
rnacentral:misc_RNA from 1 species